rnacentral:rRNA from 1 species
GCAAAAGAAGGGCGUAUGGGGGAUGCCUGGGCUCUCAGAGGCGAAGAAGGACGUGAUAAGCUGCGAAAAGCCACGGGGAACUGCACACGAGUGUUGAUCCGUGGAUAUCCGAAUGGGGCAACCCGGCUGGUUGAAGGCCAGUCACACCGCAAGGUGGGCAAACCCGCUGAACUGAAACAUCUAAGUAGGCGGAGGAAGAGAAAACAAAAGUGAUUCCGAUAGUAGUGGCGAGCGAAAUCGGAUUAGUCCAAACCAUUGUUGUUUCGGCAACAAUGGGGUUGUAGGACCACGACAUUUGGUGCGCAAUGAAUUAGAACCCUUUGGAAAGAGGGGCCGUAGACGGUGACAGCCCGGUACAAGUAAAGCGCGUUACCAAUAGUGGUAUCCUGAGUAGUGCGGGGCACGUGAAACCCUGUAUGAAUCCGGCGGGACCAUCCGCCAAGACUAAAUACUCCUGAGAGACCGAUAGUGAACCAGUACCGUGAGGGAAAGGCGAAAAGAACCCCGGAGAGGGGAGUGAAAUAGAUCCUGAAACCGUGUGCGUACAAGCAGUGGGAGCAGACUUGUUCUGUGACUGCGUACCUUUUGUAUAAUGGGUCAGCGACUUAUUGUCUGUAGCAAGCUUAACCGUAUAGGGGAGGCGUAGGGAAACCGAGUCUUAAUAGGGCGUUUAGUUGCAGGCAAUAGACCCGAAACCGGGCGAUCUAUCCAUGGCCAGGCUGAAGGUUGGGUAACACUAACUGGAGGGCCGAACCCACGUAUGUUGAAAAAUGCGGGGAUGAACUGUGGAUCGGAGUGAAAGGCUAAUCAAGCCAGGAGAUAGCUGGUUCUCCUCGAAAGCUAUUUAGGUAGCGCCUCAUGUAUCACUCUUGGGGGUAGAGCACUGUUUGGGCUAGGGGGUCAUCCCGACUUACCAACCCCAUGCAAACUCCGAAUACCGAGAAGUGCAAUCAUGGGAGACACACGGUGGGUGAUAACGUCCAUCGUGGAAAGGGAAACAACCCAGACCAUCAGCUAAGGUCCCAAAAUUAUGGCUCAGUGGAAAACGAGGUGGGAAGGCUCAGACAGCUAGGAGGUUGGCUUAGAAGCAGCCACCCUUUAAAGAAAGCGUAAUAGCUCACUAGUCGAGU